rnacentral:rRNA from 1 species
UCAGGAUGAACGCCAGCGGCAGGCCUAACACAUGCAAGCCGAGGGGUAAGUCUCUUUCNGGGAGAACACGACCGGCGCACGGGUGAGUAACGCGUAUGCAACCUACCUUUGGCACGGGGACAGCCCGGGGAAACCCGGAUUAAUACCCGGUAUAGUCUAUUAUACACCUGUAUAAAAGACGAGAGCUACGGCGGCCAAAGAUGGGCAUGCGUGCCAUUAGUUAGUUGGUAGGGUAACGGCCUACCAAGGCAUCGAUGGCUACGGGGUCUAAAAGGAUGAGCCCGCACACUGGUACUGAGACACGGACCAGACUCCUACGGGAGGCAGCAGUGAGGAAUAUUGGUCAAUGGGUGGAAGCCUGAACCAGCCAUGCCGCGUGCAGGAAGACGGCCUUAUGGGUUGUAAACUGCUUUUCUACGGGACGAACGGCUCUGACGUGUCAGAGAUUGACGGUACCGUAGGAAUAAGCAUCGGCUAACUCCGUGCCAGCAGCCGCGGUAAUACGGAGGAUGCGAGCGUUAUCCGGAUUUAUUAGGUUUAAAGGGUGCGUAGGCUGGGCAAUAAGUCAGUGGUGAAAGUCCGCGGCUCAACCGUGGGAUUGCCAUUGAAACUGUUGUUCUUGAGUACAGUCGAGGUAGGCGGAAUGUGUAAUGUAGCGGUGAAAUGCAUAGAUAUUACCCAGAACACCGAUUGCGUAGGCAGCUUACCAGCCUGGAACUGACGCUGAUGCACGAAAGCGUGGGGAGCGAACAGGAUUAGAUACCCUGGUAGUCCACGCCGUAAACGAUGAUCACUCGCUGUUGGCAAUAUAGAGUCAGCGGCUGAGCGAAAGCAUUACGUGAUCCACCUGGGGAGUACGUCGGCAACGAUGAAACUC